GAUGAAGAACGUAGCGAAAUGCGAUACGUAAUGUGAAUUGCAGAAUUCAGUGAAUCAUCGAAUCUUUGAACGCAUAUUGCGCUCUCUGGUAUUCCGGAGAGCAUGCUUGUUUGAGUAUCAGUAAACACCUCAACUCCCUUUUCUUUUUUGAAAUUGGAGCUGGACUUGAGUGAUCCCAACGCUUUCUUCCAAGAAAGUGGCGGGUUGCUUGAAAUGCAGGUGCAGCUGAACUUUUCUCUGAGCUAUAAGCAUAUCUAUUUAGUCUGCCUAAAAAACAGAUUAUUCCCUUUGCUGCAGCUAACAUAAAGGAGACUAGUUCUUGUGCUGACUGAUGCAGGAUUCACAGAGACAGCUUCGGCUGACUUUGUAAACUCGAUCUCAAAUCAAGUAAGACUACCCGCUGAACUUAAGCAUAUCAAUAAGCGGAGGA
rnacentral:misc_RNA from 1 species